rnacentral:tRNA from 1 species
GGGGAUUUAGCUCAGUGGUAGAGCGCUUGCCUAGAAAGUGCAAGGCCCUGGGUUCGGUCCCCAGCUCCU